UAGGGUGGGUUUUAGCGGUGGGGCUCACCUGUUCCCAUUCCGAACACAGAAGUUAAGCCCACCAGCGCCGAUGGUACUGCUAACGCGGGAGAGUAGGUCGCCGCCAGUU
rnacentral:rRNA from 1 species